rnacentral:rRNA from 1 species
UAUACCCUAUAGGUACAGAGCUGGAAUGCUCUUAAAUCAAAAGUUCCGGCGCCCUAGAUGGAUCUGCGACCGAUUAGGUUAUUGUUGGGGUAAUGGCCCAACAAGCCAGUAAUCGGUACGGGUUGUGGGAGCAAGAGCCCGGAGUUGGAUUCUGAGACACGAAUCCAGGCCCUACGGGGCGCAGCAGGCGCGAAAACUUUACAAUGCGGGCAACCGUGAUAAGGGAACCUCGAGUGCCUGUAAAUGCAGGCUGUUCAGAUGCCUAAAACACAUCUGGAGAAAGGGCCGGGCAAGACCGGUGCCAGCCGCCGCGGUAAUACCGGCGGCUCGAGUGGUGGCCACUUUUAUUGGGCUUAAAGCGUUCGUAGCUGGGUUGUUAAGUCUCUUGGGAAAUCUGGCGGCUUAACCGUCAGGCGUCUAAGGGAUACUGGCAAUCUUGGAACCGGGAGAGGUGAGGGGUACUUCGGGGGUAGGAGUGAAAUCCUGUAAUCCUCGAGGGACCACCUGUGGCGAAGGCGCCUCACCAGAACGGCUUCGACAGUGAGGGACGAAAGCUGGGGGAGCAAACCGGAUUAGAUACCCGGGUAGUCCCAGCCGUAAACUAUGCGCGUUAGGUGUAU